rnacentral:rRNA from 1 species
GACAGAGGGUGCGAACGUUGUUCGGAAUUACUGGGCGUAAAGCGCAUGUAGGCGGCAGCGCAAGUCGGGCGUGAAAUCCCACGGCUCAACCGUGGAAGUGCACUCGAAACUGCGCAGCUAGAGUCCUGGAGAGGAAGGUGGAAUGCUUGGUGUAGAGGUGAAAUUCGUAGAUAUCAAGCGGAAACACCGGUGGCGAAGGCGGCCUUCUGGGACGAGUGACUGACGCUGAGAUGCGAAAGCGGUGGGGAGCAAACAGGG